UGUUAGCGGCGGACGGGUGAGUAACACGUGGGUAACCUGCCUGUAAGACUGGGAUAACUCCGGGAAACCGGGGCUAAUACCGGAUGGUUGUUUGAACCGCAUGGUUCAGACAUAAAAGGUGGCUUCGGCUACCACUUACAGAUGGACCCGCGGCGCAUUAGCUAGUUGGUGAGGUAACGGCUCACCAAGGCGACGAUGCGUAGCCGACCUGAGAGGGUGAUCGGCCACACUGGGACUGAGACACGGCCCAGACUCCUACGGGAGGCAGCAGUAGGGAAUCUUCCGCAAUGGACGAAAGUCUGACGGAGCAACGCCGCGUGAGUGAUGAAGGUUUUCGGAUCGUAAAGCUCUGUUGUUAGGGAAGAACAAGUGCCGUUCAAAUAGGGCGGCACCUUGACGGUACCUAACCAGAAAGCCACGGCUAACUACGUGCCAGCAGCCGCGGUAAUACGUAGGUGGCAAGCGUUGUCCGGAAUUAUUGGGCGUAAAGGGCUCGCAGGCGGUUUCUUAAGUCUGAUGUGAAAGCCCCCGGCUCAACCGGGGAGGGUCAUUGGAAACUGGGGGAACUUGAGUGCAGAAGAGGAGAGUGGAAUUCCACGUGUAGCGGUGAAAUGCGUAGAGAUGUGGGAGGAACACCAGUGGCGAAGGCGACUCUCUGGUCUGUAACUGACGCUGAGGAGCGAAAGCGUGGGGAGCGAACAGGAUUAGAUACCCUGGUAGUCCACGCCGUAAACGAUGAGUGCUAAGUGUUAGGGGGUUUCCGCCCCUUAGUGCUGCAGCUAACGCAUUAAGCACUCCGCCUGGGGAGUACGGUCGCAAGACUGAAACUCAAAGGAAUUGACGGGGGCCCGCACAAGCGGUGGAGCAUGUGGUUUAAUUCGAAGCAACGCGAAGAACCUUACCAGGUCUUGACAUCCUCUGACAAUCCUAGAGAUAGGACGUCCCCUUCGGGGGCAGAGUGACAGGUGGUGCAUGGUUGUCGUCAGCUCGUGUCGUGAGAUGUUGGGUUAAGUCCCGCAACGAGCGCAACCCUUGAUCUUAGUUGCCAGCAUUCAGUUGGGCACUCUAAGGUGACUGCCGGUGACAAACCGGAGGAAGGUGGGGAUGACGUCAAAUCAUCAUGCCCCUUAUGACCUGGGCUACACACGUGCUACAAUGGACAGAACAAAGGGCAGCGAAACCGCGAGGUUAAGCCAAUCCCACAAAUCUGUUCUCAGUUCGGAUCGCAGUCUGCAACUCGACUGCGUGAAGCUGGAAUCGCUAGUAAUCGCGGAUCAGCAUGCCGCGGUGAA
rnacentral:rRNA from 1 species